rnacentral:lncRNA from 1 species
GCAUGGUCCUCCAACUGCUUUGAAAGCAUUUGCUCAUGGAGAAGCACUACGGCUUAUAAGCAAUGAACACUGAGGAUGAGCUGUACCUAGAAAUUGCUGUUGGAUACUGACAAUGGUGGCAUUUGUGGAGGAGGACUUUGAAGGGAGGAAUCCAAGAGCCUGAAAAGUGAGUAAGGAAAUGAAAGGAGAAUACGAGUCUCGUUAAUUGUAAGCUUUAUUGUUUCCCACAGCCAGAUGAGUGUGAAACAGAAACACAAAUCAUGAAAAGAUUCCCAGUGGUAAUUAUGUACUGAAUACACGGAGAGAACAUUUCCCAAGUCAUUGGAAAGAGCGAAUCCUUGAAAGAUGACUGGGUGAGCACAUCAUGCACAGCAGUGAUGAGGCAGAGAGCAGAGACCCUGGGAUGUCCAUAGUGAUGCGUCAACCCAUGGCCAUGGUGUCCAAGGAGGAGGAGCCAGUAGUGGUGGAGCGUGGCUGGAUCCUGCAGCUAGUAUUUGGGGCACUGUGGUGGCAGCUUGC